rnacentral:rRNA from 1 species
GCUACCGCUAUUGGAGUUCGAUUAAGCCAUGCGAGUCGCGAGAAAUUAGAUUCUCGGCGUACCGCUCAGUAACACGUGGGUAACCUGCCCUAUGCUGGAUAAUAACCUCGGGAAACUGAGUAUAAUGAUCCAUAGUUCACUACGCCUGGAACGGUGAGUGGACGAAAGCUCCGGCGGCAUAGGAUGGGCCUGCGGCGUAUCAGGUUGUAGGGGGUGUAACGUACCCUCUAGCCCUCUACGCGUACGGGUGUUGGGAGACAUAGCCCGGAGAUGGAUUCUGAGACACGAAUCCAGACCCUACGGGGUGCAGCAGGCGCGAAAACUUGGCAAUGCGAGAAAUCGUGACCAGGGAACUCCAAGUGCAUCGGGUAAGACCGGUGCUUUUCUUGACUCUAAAUAGGUCUUGGAAUAAGGGGUGGGUAAGGACGGUGCCAGCCGCCGCGGUAAUACCGGCGCCUCAAGUGGUAGUCGCUUUUAUUGGGCCUAAAACGUCCGUAGCCGGUCUGAUACAUUCGUGGGUAAAUCAACCAGCUCAACUGGUUGAAUUCUGCGAGGACGGUCAGACUUGGGACCGGGAGAGGUGUGGGGUACGCUCAGGGUAGGGGUAAAAUCCUGUCAUCCUGAGCGGACCGCCUGUUGCGAAGGCGCCACACUAGAACGGAUCCGACGGUCAGGGACGAAGCCUAGGGGCACGAACCGGAUUAGAUACCCGGGUAGUCCUAGGUGUAAACGCUGUGGACUUGAUGUUGGGGGUGCUCCGAGCACUCUCAGUGUCGAAGCGAAGGUGAUAAGUCCACUGCCUGGGAAGUACGGUCGCAAGGCUGAAACUUAAAGGAAUUGGCGGGGG